GACGAACGCUGGCGGCGUGCCUAAUACAUGCAAGUCGAACGAGUGGCGGACGGGUGAGUAACACGUGGGAACCUGCCUUUCACAGGGGAAUAACACUGGGAAACCAGUGCUAAUACCGCAUAGUGAAAGAUGGCCUCGCGCCUGAUUAGCUAGUAGGUGGGGUAAAGGCUCACCUAGGCGACGAUCUCUAGCUGGUCUGAGAGGAUGAGCAGCGACACUGGGACUGAGACACGGCCCAGACUCCUACGGGAGGCAGCAGUGGGGAAUAUUGCACAAUGGGCGCAAGCCUGAUGCAGCCAUGCCGCGUGUAUGAAGAAGGCCUUAGGGUUAUAAAGUACUUUCAGCGGGGAGGCGUUACCCGCAGAAGAAGCACCGGCUAACUCCGUGCCAGCAGCCGCGGUAAUAC
rnacentral:rRNA from 1 species